rnacentral:lncRNA from 7 species
CGGCGGUUAGCUAUAGAUCACUCACUCACAUACAUUCCAAUAUGAAUAAUACGAGUGAUAGAGCCUUGUUGGUACUUAUGUUGCUUCUAUCUUUAUUAUUCGUUGCGCAAUGCGGUCGUCCUCAUGUGUACAUGGAUGAUGAUGUUGUUGGAACCGCAAGGGGCCGCCGAGCUGCUUUUAGCCUCACCGAGAAUGGAUAUUGUGACACGGAGCACCAAAACAGUAAAGUGGUCUACUGCUGCUCGCAUCCACAGCCAAAGCAUUGCUAUGGCACUUUUCUGCAGUGUCGGGCCAAUUGCUACGUUCAUAAACGCAAGUGAUCAUGUGGCCAUAUCUGAUAAUGUGGUUCUAAAAACAUCAUCAUUGUUAGCUUAAACAAUGUACUUUACAAUGGUUGGUAAUAUAAUAAUAUGGGGAAGUCGUU